rnacentral:rRNA from 1 species
UACGUAGGGGGCAAGCGUUGUCCGGAAUUAUUGGGCGUAAAGAGCGUGUAGGCGGUCCGGUAAGUCAGCUGUGAAAGUCAAGGGCUCAACCCUUGAAAGCCGGUUGAUACUGUCGGGCUAGAGUCCGGAAGAGGCGAGUGGAAUUCCCGGUGUAGCGGUGAAAUGCGCAGAUAUCGGGAGGAACACCAAUGGCGAAGGCAGCUCGCUGGGACGGUACUGACGCUGAGACGCGAAAGCGUGGGGAGCAAAUAGG